rnacentral:rRNA from 1 species
AUCGAACGCUGGCGGCAUGCCUUACACAUGCAAGUCGAACGGUAGAGGAGCAAUCCUCGAGAGUGGCGAACGGGUGAGUAAUGCAUCGGAACGUGCCCAGUAAUGGGGGAUAGCCCGGCGAAAGCCAGAUUAAUACCGCAUACGACCUAAGGGUGAAAGAGGGGGAUCGCAAGACCUCUCGUUAUUGGAGCGGCCGAUGUCAGAUUAGGUAGUUGGUGGGGUAAAGGCCUACCAAGCCAACGAUCUGUAGCUGGUCUGAGAGGACGACCAGCCACACUGGGACUGAGACACGGCCCAGACUCCUACGGGAGGCAGCAGUGGGGAAUUUUGGACAAUGGGCGCAAGCCUGAUCCAGCCAUGCCGCGUGCGGGAAGAAGGCCUUCGGGUUGUAAACCGCUUUUGUCAGGGAAGAAAUCUUCUGGGUUAAUACCUCGGGAGGAUGACGGUACCUGAAGAAUAAGCACCGGCUAACUACGUGCCAGCCGCCGCCGUAA